rnacentral:lncRNA from 1 species
AUGACCUCGGGGCCUCGCCGGCUGUUUUUGCUCCAGGAGAUCUUACGGGAUCCUGGUCAUUUUUGUAUAUCCGGGAUGACCUCAGGGCCUCGCCGGUUGUUUUUGCUCCAGGAGAUCUUACGGGAUCCUGAUCAUUUUUGUAUUUCCGGGAUGACCUCGGGGCCUCGCCGGUUGUUUUUGCUCCAGGAGAUCUUACGGGAUUCUGGUCAUUUUUAUAUUUCCGGGAUGACCUCGGGGCCUCGCCGGCUGUUUUU